AUUGAACGCUGGCGGCAGGCUUAACACAUGCAAGUCGAGCGAGCGGCGGACGGGUGAGUAAUGUCUGGGAAACUGCCUGAUGGAGGGGGAUAACUACUGGAAACGGUAGCUAAUACCGCAUACCAUCAGAUGUGCCCAGAUGGGAUUAGCUAGUAGGUGGGGUAAUGGCUCACCUAGGCGACGAUCCCUAGCUGGUCUGAGAGGAUGACCAGAGAGACUGGAACUGAGACACGGGCCAGACACCUACGGGAGGCAGCAGUGGGGAAUAUGGCACAAUGGGCGCAAGCCUGAUGCAGCCAUGCCGCAUGUAUGAAGAAGGGCUUCGGGUUGUAAAGCACUUUCAGCGAGGAGGCGUUACUCGCAGAAGAAGCACCGGCUAACUCCGUGCCAGCGGCCGCGGUAAUUC
rnacentral:rRNA from 1 species